GAGAGUUUGGGUGCCGGUGUGAGGGGGGGUUUGGGUGCCGGUAACCCCGCUGAGCUCUGUACUGCCUCCAGACUGUGGUUCCUGCCGCUCAGUCUGAGGGCAGUCUAAGGUGAGCACAGUCGUCUCGCACAGAAUUAGUUCAGCCUCAGCUGUAUAAAAACAUUGGAAGCUGGUGGUCUGUUGUCGCUGAAGUGUUCUGUCUCUAUAUACCCAGAAGCUGCUAUACAGUUUGUUCUAAGGACGCUGAAUUGUCAAGAUCCAGGUUUCCCUGACAUACCUGAACAAAGAUGCUCUAUAGAGGACAUCUUUACUGUCCAACAUCUUCAACACUGGGUGAUCUUCCAGGAAGAAACAUUGAACAACCUCUGCCCUGUGGGUACAGGUACACUCAGGCAAUGUGACCCCAAAGAACUGAUUGAGGCAGACUGUUCAGCCAAAUUCCACCACGAGCUACUGCAAAGCAAUCAAAUGCAGCUAUUUCACUAUGGAGAAGUGAUUUCCAGGCUGACUCAUAACAUAACUGCUUACCUCUUUGGUUGAGCACAUAAAACAUCCCAGUUAGAAAAAUUUGAGGAAAUCACAUUAAAAAUAAGGACCUGAGAAAAAGAGUCACAAUUACCUGGCCUGUCAGUCUCUCCCAAAGCUUCUGAACCUCUGAAGCCACUUGCAGACCAGUCUGGAAGAGUGAAAGUCUUCAAGGAUCGUGACAUUCUCUGUAGGUUCAGGGGGGUAAGGGGAUGAGCAGCCGGAUGAGGGACAAAACCCCACUCCCACAAGCAGAAAGCAGAACCCCUCUGAAUCCUGCUGCUUCAGGUUAUUUGCAGGGGAUGAUACAGUUGGGAACCAAGAGCAUGGAGCACAGAAAGACAGGCUUCAUAAUUUCCACUGCUGUGGAACAAUUAAUUUUUAAUUGCUAGACCAGAAUAAUGUGACCAAAGAGCCCUUAGUUCAUGACAAUUAAGAAAAACUGCACAUCUCAGCACUUUUAAUUAACAUUGCUUCUUGAGGCAGACCAUUUCAGUCAUCUUCAGGAUAACACCACUGCUUUAAGCUAUUGUUUAAAACUACUGAACCAGAACAUUUGGGUUCAGAAGGGACAGGCAGUACAUUCUCACUGCUUCCUAACAGCUAUUGCACACUACCACCAGUUUUCAGUGUGGAUAAAGCCUCUCUGGUCAUUACCCUUCUGUGAGGCACAUAUUCCUUUUUGAUUUAGAAGUCUGGUAAGAUGGAUCUGAUUGGUUUUCAUAUACAUAAAAAGUGAACUACAAAAUGAAAGGUAUAACUCUAAAAAAACAACCUCAAAAAUAAACUGAAGUGCCACAUUCUCACAAAGGCUAAUAAAUUAAUCCUUAAUACGCAUCAAAGAUUUUAUUUGCAUUAACUGAAGAUUGAAAUAUUAAAAUAAGUCUACAUUAAAUUAUAAUAUUAAAUAUGCUUUAAAUACAAUAAACUAAAUGUGUUUAGUUUCCAAACACAAAGGGAACAAAAAUAAUUCAGAAUGCAAUACAAUUAAUAACACCAGAGGACAGAAUAAGGACUUUUAAUAUGUAGUUCCACAAACUGUCACCUCAUAGCACUGUUUACUUUAAGAAGUGGCCUUUUAAUUGAUGCACAAACCCCACAUUAGAUAAACUUAGUAAGGUAUCUCUCAAGAAAAUAUUGUUCAGGUAAAUUCUUCUUGAUGUAGUGAUCCAAACUCCUUUGGUAGCUCUUUUUCAGAAUUAAACAUACCAGUAGACAAAUCAAGAAAAUAAACAGUCUUGCAAGUAUUACCAGAAAAGGUGUCUUCCUUAUAGUUACAGUUAUCUAACAGAUCUACAGUGUCUUUCACUCUUUAAUUCAAAUCAACUUACAUAUGUACAAUAUGUAACAAAGUACUCACAAAGUCCUUAGUC